rnacentral:rRNA from 1 species
AACGUAGGAGACAAACGUUAUCCGGAGUUACUGGGCGUAAAGGGCGUGUAGGUGGUUUCGUAAGUCUGGCGUGAAAUUUUUCGGCUUAACCGGGAAAGGUCGUCGGAUACUGCGGAACUAGAGGACGGUAGAGGCGUGUGGAAUUCCGGGUGUAGUGGUGAAAUGCGUAGAGAUCCGGAGGAACACCAGUGGCGAAGGCGGCUCACUGGCUCGUAUCUGACGCUCAGGCGCGACAGCGUGGGGAUCAAACAGG